CUGUUUUGUUCUCCAGAGCAGAGCAGAGACAGCCAGCAACACCACCCAGGCAAUGCUCUGUGGAGACAAGUCGACAAACAAGAGCCGGGAAGCCCAUCUCCUUGGAGCUGUUUAUGUUACGUAACUCAAAUAGACGCAGCAGCAGCAGAACUCCUCAGUGAAGCCAGACCAGGGCGGUUCCCUCAGCCACCGGGUCGGGUCGAGAUGGCUGCCUUGAAACAACAACAAUCUAAUUCUCGGGGACACACCAUCGCCACUCAACAGGACAUCCUGACUGUGCCGCAGAGCAGCAUUGGGGGUUGACCCAAGGCUGAUCAAAUGCUCGACCACAGAGCUGCGAUGAGGCCUUCAGCAUGGAGAUUAUUAAUGAUGUCGGAUUCUUUCACACUGCAUCUUUGAACCCUGGUGUGUGGGCUCUACUAGUCAAAUAUCCGGAAUACUCGAGACAUUAAGACAACACUCAGAGACCUGGUGACACAUAUCUAUAAUCACAGCAGCUGGGGAGGCUGAGGCAGGAAGAUAAUAAAUUCAGAAGCUGGACCCUGACUAUUCCUGUUUAGACAUAUGUUAAAUUAAAGAUUGUUUCCUAA